UACAGAGGUCCCAAGCGUUGUUCGGAUUCACUGGGCUUAAAGGGCGCGUAGGCGGCUUCGCAAGUCCGGGGUGAAAGCCUCCAGCUCAACUGGAGAAGUGCCUUGGAUACUGCGGGGCUCGGGGGAGGUAGGGGUGCGUGGAACUUCCGGUGGAGCGGUGAAAUGCGUUGAUAUCGGAAGGAACGCCGGUGGCGAAAGCGACGCACUGGACCUCUUCUGACGCUGAGGCGCGAAAGCCAGGGGAGCAAACGGG
rnacentral:rRNA from 1 species